ensembl:lncRNA
CAUGAUUCCCCACGCUAGGAGGAGCUUGGAAUUGACGACUGCUUCAGGGUAGUCCGAAGAGCACCGACACUCUUGGUCCAGAUCGUUGGGGAAAAUAUCCUGCAGCGCCGGCCAGUGUCAUGUUUCUGUGCUGGGCCGUCAGCAGCACAGAAGCGUCGCCAUGGUGACGACCUGGCUGAACUCUCACAUGACACCGGUGACAUUCAGCAGAAGGCCGCCUGACCACCUUAUCAAGAAAAUCAGGUGGUAAAGGAAGGUAAACGAGGUUGAACAGUACUGAGUGCCGUCUGGUAAUCAUCAGCCUGUUGUGCUCACUGUUGCCGCUUCCCAGAAGCAGACAGCAUUCCCCGCACUCCCAAUCACUAAACUCCGAGCGGGAUCAGCA